rnacentral:rRNA from 1 species
AUUGAACGCUGGCGGCAGGCCUAACACAUGCAAGUCGAACGAGUGGCGGACGGGUGAGUAAUGUCUGGGAAACUGCCUGAUGGAGGGGGAUAACUACUGGAAACGGUAGCUAAUACCGCAUACCAUCAGAUGUGCCCAGAUGGGAUGAGCUAGUUGGUGGGGUAACGGCUCACCAAGGCGACGUUCCCUAGCUGGUCUGAGAGGAUGACCGGCCACACUGGAUCUGCGCCACGGUCCAGACUCCUACGGGAGUCAGCAGUGGUGAAUGUUGCACACUGGGCGCAAGCCUGCUGCGGCCAUGCCGGGUGUAUGAAAAAGGCCUUCGGGUUGUAAAGUACUUUCCGCGGGGAGGCGUUACCCGCAGAAGAAGCGCCGGCUAACUCCGUGCCAGCAGCCGCGGUAAUAC